UACGGAGGGGGCUAGCGUUGUUCGGAAUUACUGGGCGUAAAGCGCACGUAGGCGGCUUUGUAAGUUAAAGGUGAAAGCCCGGGGCUCAACUCCGGAAUUGCCUUUAAGACUGCAUCGCUAGAAUUGUGGAGAGGUAAGUGGAAUUCCGAGUGUAGAGGUGAAAUUCGUAGAUAUUCGGAAGAACACCAGUGGCGAAGGCGACUUACUGGACACAUAUUGACGCUGAGGUGCGAAAGCGUGGGGAGCAAACAGG
rnacentral:rRNA from 1 species